GUGCCAGGCAGCCGCGGUAACACGUAGGAGGCAAACGUUAUCCGGAUUUACUGGGCGUAAAGCGCGUGUAGGUGGUACUGUAAGUAGGGCGUGAAAGCUCCUGGCUCAACUGGGAGAGGCCGUUCUAAACUACAGAACUAGAGGAUGGUAGAGGGAGGUGGAAUUCCAGGUGUAGCGGUGGAAUGCGCAGAUAUCUGGAGGAACACCGGUGGCGAAGGCGGCCUCCUGGACCAUUCCUGACACUCAGACGCGAAAGCUAGGGUAGCAAACGGG
rnacentral:rRNA from 1 species